rnacentral:rRNA from 1 species
GAGUUUGAUCCAUGGCUCAGGACGAACGCUGGCGGCGUGCUUAACACAUGCAAGUCGAACGAGAAGAGAUGAGAAGCUUGCUUCUUAUGAUUCGAGUGGCAAACGGGUGAGUAACGCGUAAGCAACCUGCCCUCUAGAUGGGGACAACAGCUGGAAACGGCUGCUAAUACCGAAUACGUUCUUUCUGUCGCAUGGCAGAGGGAAGAAAGGGAGGCUCUUCGGAGCUUUCGCUGGAGGAGGGGCUUGCGUCUGAUUAGCUAGUUGGAGGGGUAACGGCCCACCAAGGCGACGAUCAGUAGCCGGUCUGAGAGGAUGAACGGCCACAUUGGGACUGAGACACGGCCCAGACUCCUACGGGAGGCAGCAGUGGGGAAUCUUCCGCAAUGGACGAAAGUCUGACGGAGCAACGCCGCGUGAACGAUGACGGCCUUCGGGUUGUAAAGUUCUGUUAUACGGGACGAAUGGUACGACGGUCAAUACCCGUCGUAAGUGACGGUACCGUAAGAGAAAGCCACGGCUAACUACGUGCCAGCAGCCGCGGUAAUACGUAGGUGGCAAGCGUUGUCCGGAAUUAUUGGGCGUAAAGGGCGCGCAGGCGGCGUCGUAAGUCGGUCUUAAAAGUGCGGGGCUUAACCCCGUGAGGGGACCGAAACUGCGAUGCUAGAGUAUCGGAGAGGAAAGCGGAAUUCCUAGUGUAGCGGUGAAAUGCGUAGAUAUAUUAGGAGGAACACCAGUGGCGAAAGCGGCUUUCUGGACGACAACUGACGCUGAGGCGCGAAAGCCAGGGGAGCAAACGGGAUUAGAUACCCCGGUAGUCCUGGCCGUAAACGAUGGAUACUAGGUGUAGGAGGUAUCGACCCCUUCUGUGCCGGAGUUAACGCAAUAAGUAUCCCGCCUGGGGAGUACGGCCGCAAGGCUGAAACUCAAAGGAAUUGACGGGGGCCCGCACAAGCGGUGGAGUAUGUGGUUUAAUUCGACGCAACGCGAAGAACCUUACCAAGCCUUGACAUUGAUUGCUAAGGGUAGAGAUACCCUGUUCCUCUUCGGAGGACAAGAAAACAGGUGGUGCACGGCUGUCGUCAGCUCGUGUCGUGAGAUGUUGGGUUAAGUCCCGCAACGAGCGCA